GCAGAUGGUGGCUGCAGCCCCAGCCAGCUGCGUGGGAGACACUUAAAGACUUCCAUUUGAGCUCUAUUAACUCACUUGCCUGCAAUACAGGUUUCGCCUUUACUGAAAUAGCACUUCGAAGUUGAACUGUUUCACGAACUACUAUCGUAGUCCCUGAGGACCGACCGCAAGGACAAUAAAGGGGCUGCCUCAUGCCGUGGUACCAGGCUUCUCCCAGAGCAAGCGGUCCAAGAGAGAGAAAGAGAACAUCCAAGAUAGAAGCCAUGAUCUUUUUAAAAUCUAAUGUCAAAGUAACAAUUUAUCACUUCUGCUGCAUUCUGUAUGUUAAAAGCAAGUCAUUAGGUCCAGCCCACACUCAAGGGAAAGGAUUACACAAAGGUACAGCUACCAGGGGGUGGGAUCAUUGGCGGUCAUCUUAGAGGCUGCCUCUUAUAUGAGGAUACAGUAGCAGACAAAACAGAUAAUUAAGCCUUCAAUUCAUGAAGCUUACAUUCUUGUGGGGAAAGACAGACAAUAAGAAAAUAAGUAAAUUAUUUGUUAUGAUAGAAGGUGAUAAAAACAAUGGGAAACGGUAAAGCAAGAAAGGACCCUGGCUUUUGCUCUAAAUGGGAUGAAAACAACUGAAGAUUUUUAAGAAAAGAGGGCAGCAUGAUCUGAUUUCCUUCCUUUACAAAAAGGAUCAAGCUAGUUGCUGGGUUGAGAAAAGACUGAAGAAGACCAAGGUGGAAGCAAUUAGAUUAAUUGGAGGCAACAAUCUAGGUCCAAGAUGAUGGCAACUUAGACCCCAGUGGUAGCAGUGGAAGUGGUCUAAGGUGGAGAGAAUUUGGACAAACACACACACAUGACAAGCAUUUUGGCCUUAAUGUGAUAUAGAUGCAUCCUUGAAUCCUCCACAUCCUGAAAAAUCACACACUAAAACAGGACUAUGAAAAAACCAGAGAUGGGAAUGGACCACUGAAAACCUAGGCAAAUUUAUAACCGGAGACCACAACAAUAACAAUUUAAAUAAAAAUACAGUUAAAAUUCCUGAUUUAAA